UACAGAGGGUGCGAGCGUUAAUCGGAUUUACUGGGCGUAAAGGGUGCGUAGGCGGUUAUAUAAGCGGAAUGUGAAAGCCCUGGGCUCAACCUUGGGAGUGCAUACCAAACUAUGUAGCUGGAGUAUAUGAGAGGGUGGCGGAAUUUCCGGUGUAGCGGUGAAAUGCGUAGAGAUCGGAAGGAACGUCAAUGGCGAAGGCAGCCACCUGGCAUAAUACUGACGCUGAGGCACGAAAGCGUGGGGAGCGAACAGG
rnacentral:rRNA from 1 species